CACGAUCAUAUGUACAUUUGUAUAUAUAUAUAGAGAGAGAGAGAGAGAGAGAGAGAGAGAGAGAUACCAAAAGGCUGGUAAAGUACUUGGUCUGUCAUUACUAGAGCUGUGUGAUGACUACAGUAAAUUGACAUUGGUGCACAGAUAUAGUAAAAAAGUGAAAAGUGAAUUUUAUAUGUUAUGAUGAUUAAUACAUGAUUAUGUGUUAAUCAUGUUGUUAUUGUGCUUGCUAAUGCAAAAUAAAAGUGUUUUUGCUAAUAAA